rnacentral:tRNA from 1 species
GCCGGUGUAGCUCAGCGGUAGAGCGGCUGCCUUGUAAGCAGUUGGUCGGGGGUUCGACUCCUCUCACCGGCUCCA